UUUUUUUUAUUAUUUGUUUUUAGUGAUAUAGUUAAUGUGCAUAAUAACAGGUUGUCGACUUGUAGUUG
rnacentral:tRNA from 1 species